rnacentral:rRNA from 1 species
UACGAAGGGGGGCUAGCGUUGCUCGGAAUCACUGGGCGUAAAGGGUGCGUAGGCGGGUCUUUUAAGUCAGGGGGUGAAAUCCUGGAGCUCAACUCCAGAACUGCCUUUGAUACUGAAGAUCUUGAGUUCGGGAGAGGUGAGUGGAACUGCGAGUGUAGAGGUGAAAUUCGUAGAUAUUCGCAAGAACACCAGUGGCGAAGGCGGCUCACUGGCCCGAUACUGACGCUGAUGCACGAAAGCGUGGGGGAGCAAAACAGG